AUGGAAACCAAUUUCUGUUUGCAGUUGGCACUCUCACAGGGCUCUGUCAAUAUAAGAUAUUUUUCUUAGAAUAUGAAAUAGAUGGAUGUCCCUAUAUGUGUCUAAAUAAGAGCAUGUGUGCGCAUAAACAAUUAUGCUUUAAAGCAUAAAUUUAACAAAUUCUGAGCUCAACUUUGAAAUGCUGUAUAUCUAUCUAUAUUACAAAAAAAAUGGUAAAAAGAAAAAAAAACAAUAAAAACAAUAGAAAAUAAAUAAUCUUCGCAGUAA